rnacentral:rRNA from 1 species
UCAGACGAUGCGUCAUGCAUAUCAAUAAGCGGAGGAAAAGAAACUAACAAGGAUUCCCCUAGUAACGGCGAGUGAAGCGGGAAGAGCUCAAAUUUGAAAUCUUAAAGGGUUUCCCUUUACGAAUUGUAGUUUAAAGAAGUGUUUUCUGUUGAGGUUUUGGUAAAAGUUCUUUGGAAUAGGACAUCAUAGAGGGUGAGAAUCCCGUAUUUGACCUUUACUUUCAACUUUGUGAUACACUUUCAAAGAGUCGGAUUGUUUGGGAAUGCAGUCCAAAAUGGGUGGUAAAUUUCAUCUAAAGCUAAAUAUUGGCGAGAGACCGAUAGCGAACAAGUACCGUGAGGGAAAGAUGAAAAGAACUUUGAAAAGAGAGUUAAACAGUACGUGAAAUUGUCAAAAGGGAAGCGUUUGACACCAGUGUUGUUUUUCUGAAAAUCAAUUAAAGAACUGUUUAUGCUAAGCUGUUUAGACUUUAUCAGCUAAUCUGUUUAGUUUUGAGCUUUUCUUUAAUGCACUUUUCAGUUAACAAGUCAACAUCAAUUUCUUUUGCUGUAAAAAAGCUUGAGGAAGGUGGCUUGAGAUUCGUCUUAAGUGUUUAUAGCCUCUUGCCUAUGCAGUCGGAGAGAUUGAGGUCUGCAGCGUAGAUCCUUCGGGGCUAAAUGCAUUUGUGCUAAGUUAUAGCAUUUUAUAGACAACUUGUUGACUAUGAUUUGUCUUGUAGCUUACUCGCUUAUGUUAUUUUACCUACGCUUAGGAUGUUGAAUCUGUGCGAGACUAC